AUCCAGACACUCUAUAAGGAUAGGACACACCUGCCUCACACAUCCACCAUGUUAAGUUUAAUUAUAAACGGGGUGGUUCAAGCACUGAAUGCUGAUUGGCUGACAGCCGUGGUAUAUCAGAUUGUAUUCCAAGGGUAUGACAAAACACUUAUUUUUACUGGUAGAAAGAAGAGGAAGGGAAGCGCAACUAAGGUACACAAUUAUACAUUUUGGUAGACUUAUUUUUACUGCUCCAAUUCCGUUGGUAAACAGUUUAUAAUAGCAAUAAGGUACCUGGGGUUUGUGAUAUAUGGCCAAUAUACCACAGCUAAGGGCUGUGUCCAGGCACUCCGUGUUGCGUUGUACAGAAGAACAGCCCUUAGACGUGGUAUAUUGACCAAAUACCACACCUCCUCGGGUGUUAUUGCUUAACCAUAAAAUUGCAGUGCAAACAACAGAAGUCAAACCAACAUCAUGACACACACAAUACUUAUAGUUUAAAGCACGUGAUGAAGGAAUUACAGAUUGCAGCACUAUCUCCUGCACAUCCUCCUCGCUGGCUGAGCCCUGUGGUUCUCCUGGCUGUCCAACAGGUGGUGCAAUAGAAGAGGCCCCCUCCUCAGCGCCAGUCGGUUGCAUCCCAGACCCGGUGGUGUCCUCCAUCUCAGUGGCCAGCACCCCAGUGCGGCCGGCUGACUGGGUCUCAUCCCCCUCAGUCUGCUCUUCCUCCCCACCAGGGCUCUCUGUGGCUGCCCCCUCUGAGCCCUCACCCCCAGCCCCAGAUGUUGGUUCCUCUGGGCUAGCCUCAGUGGAUGCAGGUUGGGUCGGGUCCACUUCCUCAACUACCUCAGUGGUGCUCUCGGCUCCCUGUUUCUCAGGUGCAGAGGUGGUAUCCACUGUGUCAGGCUCUGUGCUUGCUCUGUCCUCAGGCUGGGCCCUGUCCUCUGGGGUUACCUCUGUGGCCUCUGGCUGUACCUCAUCCUGGUCCUCCACCACUGCUGGGGCAUAUGUCUGGAUGUCUGUCUUCUCCUCUGGGACCUCCUCUGUCUUAGGCUGCUCUGUGGCUUCACCUGUGGGAAAACAGACCAGAAAGAUAGAUGCAUGAGCCCAGUUCUGAUAUUAAAACUGUUGUAAAACUGUAACUAUAUCAAAUUAUAACUAUAUAAAACUAUUAUUCACAAAACACAUCCCCUCAUUCCAAAAGGUUAUCCCAAAUCUGUCAAGGUUGGAUUGGUGAAAGCAAUGGGGGGGUAGACAUGCUUUCAUCUCUCCAAUCACCUACUGUAAGAAGCAGUGAUUAAUAAAUAAAAUAAAUAAAAUAAAAUUUGAUUUGAUUUGAUUUGAUUACCAUAUAGGAAUGGAGAAGAGAUGGAAGCUUGUGGAGACUAGAGAGACAGCCCUGUAAUUGACCUGGAGAUGAAUAGCCUGCCAGGUAGGUGAUUGAUAGCUUUUGUUUGUGUCUGCCAAGACUGCCUGGCCAGUGAAAGUUUCCAAGUGGAUAUCAUCACGGUGAUAAGCGAUCUCACGCCUAUCUUUUGACAUCCAUUAUGUAACCUAUGACAUCAUCUGUUGUGUACCAGAGUGUAAUGAUCUGUUUACCGGUCAUUACAACGAGUUACACAGUGAUUUCCACAUGCGUUUACUGUACUGUUUCCGUAGGAAAUGAGAACAUGGAAGAUCGAAUUACCAAUAAAUCAUAUCAUAUAAAAGAUGUCUGUUGAGACAGCAAUUCAUAUCUAUCUCCCUUUUAUUAAGACUGUGGUUACAGUAUAUUUGUCCUAUUUCACACAUGUGAAUGUGUAUAUUAAUAUGCAUAUGUGAAUUGUACAUUUGUUUUUUGCAUAUCCCACUCCCCCGGAGACAACCUCGUCGAUCACAGCAAGGCCAUUAUCAACAGCAACCCUGGAGCCAGUAGGGUUAAGUGCCUUGCUCAAGGGCACUUUGACAGAUUUUUCCCAACGCCCUAGCGACUAGGAUACCUGCUGCCCUGGAUGUGUAAGAGAUAUUAAGCUACUUUUGGAGGACAGUCGGCAGUUGAAUACAUAUUUGCUAAUUGACAGACCCAAAUUCAGUUAAUUUCAGGUGGUUGUAAAGCACAUUCAGAGUGAGUCUGUUGUGCAGUUAUCUGCAAUUACCAUGGGCAGGUUGCUAGCUAAUGUCAGCCAUCUUGUUUUCAUCCAAAUUAGACCUGUUUUCCACUGGGGACAAUCAGAUAAUCUUGGGUCACUCUGUGCCUCUCUGCCUCACAACACCUUAUUCACCAUUGAGAGGAAUAGGCUAGUAGCAAGGCCCCCCGAGGUAUAACAAAACACAACCAUGUUUUUCAAUAUCUUUAAUGUCUCCCAUAUAUGAAAUGGAUGGUUGAGUAAAACAAUUUGACUGCAAAAGUGGUUAAAUUGAUAGAUAUUGUGACACACCCCUUGAACUCAAACAGUGUAGAAUAAUGCCUGGGUGGAGGGGGUAGGCCACAUAAACAUGAGUGUGUCCUUCAAUGGGUAAGGAGACAAGGUAGCCAGUGGUGUUUGUAGUUCUCAGGCCUGACCAGCUUGCACAGCUAACUGGUCAUUCUGAGCAAGCUACAGCGACAAGGGUAGUAUCCUUCCUGUAUGACUGGCGGGAUAUUGGGGUUGUGGAGUGAUCCGUUUCCAUUUCUACAGUUUGCUUGCAUACCAAAGAGACCCUUUGACUAACUGGAAUGUUAUCUCAGUCUGAAUGAUGCUGGGGAUACUCCAGUAGUGGAAUGGUUGGUUUUCUGGUUGUGAAGGACAGUCUGUGAAAGGGCUGUCACAAACAGACUUGCCUUUAGAUCUUCCCAAUGCAUAGUUGGCCUCUGGAGGGAGUUUUUUAAAGUUUAAUGUGGCAAAAGGUCCUACAGGUCACGUCCCACAUUUUUAUUUUAUAUUACUUUGGAUGUCAGGUAUGAUUAUAAUUUUGUCGAUAUUAACUGUGGGUGGUUGGCAUUGAUUACAGACUGGGGCAAGCCCAGCAGGAGAUGUGGAGAGUGACAUGAGGGUGACCUCAGGUUACUUAGAGGUUAGUCAAAGUGUAGCUAGGUCAUAGACUAUGACUAAAAAGUGUUGGUUGUGAGGGACAUAGCACAGCUCCACACACAUAUACACUACCAUUCAAAAGUGUGGGGUCAGUAAGAAAUGUCCUUGUUUUAGAAAAGCUAAUUUUUUGUCCAUUAAAAUAACAUCAAAUUGAUCAGAAAUACAGUCUAGGCAUUGUUAAUGUUGUAAAUGACUAUUGUAGAUGGAAACGACAGACUUUUAAUGGAAUAUCUACAUAGAUGUACAUUAUCAUCUACAUAGGCCCAUUAUCAGCAAGAAUCAGUCCUGUGUUCCAAUGGCAUGUUGUGUUUGCUAAUCCAAGUUGAUCAUUUUAAAAGGAUAACUGAUCAUUUAAAAACCCUUCUGCAAUUCUGUUAGCACAGUUGCAAACUGCUGUUCUGAUUAAAGAAGCAAUACAACUCUCCUUCUUUAGACUAGUUGAGUAUCUGGAGCAUCAGCAUUUGUGGGUUCGAUUACAGGCUCAAAAUGGCCAGAAACCAAUAACUUUCUUCUGAAACUCGUCAGUCUAUUCAUGUUCUGAGAAAUGAAGGCUAUUCCAUGUGCCAAGAAUGCCAAGAAACUGAAGAUCUCGUACCACGCUGUGUACUACUCCCUUCACAGAAUAGAGCAAACUGGCUCUAACCAGAAUAGAAAGAGGAGUGGGAGGCCCCGGUGCACAACUGAGCAAGAGGACAAGUACAUUAGAGUGUCUAGUUUGAGAAACAGACACCAGACAAGUCCUCAACUGGCAGCAAAACACCAGUCUCAACGUCAACAGUGAAGAAGCGACUCUGGGAUGCUGGCCUUCUAGGCAGAGUUGCAAAGAAAAGGCCAUAUCUCAGACUGGCCAAUAAAAAUAAAAGAUUAGAUGGGCAAAGGAACACAGACACUGGGCAGAGGAACUCUGCCUAGAAGGUCAGCAUCCCAAACUUUUGCAUGGUAGUGUACAUUUGAAGGUGAUCCUUUGGCUUUGAUGGCCAGUAAAAGGGUUGCAGAGGAGGUGGAGCUUGUCAAACAUGGUGCACAAAGACCACUAUCUCACAGUCAAUCCACUGCCACAGUCAAUUCUUAUAUGGAUGUUGGGAUUACUGCAGGUUCCCAGACCAAUGCAUGAUUCACGUGAGUCCAGUUCAGGUGCCACAUGGGCUGGCCAGCCAUUGUUGGUAGCAAAAUAGGUACAUAUGAGGACAAUGCACUGCAAUAAUUUCCAGAUGGCAUUUUGCCUGUUGAAUGGCCUCCUGGCAUGUGGCAUCCAGUUCCAUGGUCUCUAGUAACUGGAAGGAAGGACUGACAGUGGAGAGGGAAAGUUAAUGUGUAGGCCCAGGCUAUGUUGGUUCAUUGUAGUGAACACCUACCUUGUGCACUUGUCACGUGUCGUAGCAUCCUCCCCAUACAACACAACUGUCACAAAGUCAACAUACAGUUGAAGACAGAAGUUUACUUAUACCUUAGCCAAAUUCAAUUAAACUCAUUUUUCACAAUUCCUGACAUUUAAUCCUAGUAGAAAUUUCGUCUUAGGUCAGUUAGGAUCACCACUUUAUUUAAAAAAUGUGAAAUGUCGGAAUAAUUGAAGAGAUAAUGAUUUUUUCACGUUCUGACCUUAGUUCCUUUGUUAUGUCUUUGUUUUAGUAUGGUCAGGGCGUGAGUUGGGUGGG
ensembl:lncRNA